UACGUUAAAUAAGUACGAACCUCGUUUUUUCAAAUGGGAACAUAUGUUUUAAAUUCCAUAAAUAUAAAGACAAAAAAUCUAAAAAAAUGUUAGCGUUUGAAUUUUUAAUUUUCAUCCAUUUGUUCGCUGUUUAUGACUUUGUAAAGAUUUGAAUUUUUGUCUAUAUUUCUUAAUAAUUUCAUUCGAUUCGACAAAGACAAGUAGUUUUAUUACGACGGUCAUCACAUCAAAUAUAAUAAUAAUUUGAUGUUAACGCAUUCCGUAUCAUAAUCAGAUAUAAUAAAUAACCAUACAUUAUUAGACGAAAGGUAGACUGUUACGGAUAACGGACUUUACACUUUAACCUAAUCUAGCUGGAGCUAGUCAUUAGCUGGUUAUCUCGGAUAACAAUCUAGUAUCUAAACUAUGCAUCAGUUACCACGGAAUAAUCGAGUGACCAGUACCAAUAAUAUAUUUUAUUAUUUGUACAAAAUCACAUUAUAUUUAUUAUUUGUACAUAACCUCAUCGCUAACAAAUUUCGACUUCGAAGUUCACACGUUUUCCAUUAGUGAAAUGAGAAAUUGCAAACUUAAUUAAAAAAUGUUAGUAAAUUUACAUUUUACUUUAUAGUAAAUAUGAUAGCAUGCGUAUUGUAGUUAUGUCAUAACUCGUUAUUUUAUAAUUUUUUAAAUAUAUCAAUUGAUAAUAUUUGCUCUCGACUUUAUUUUGACGUUACAUUCUUGGACACACCAUUAAUUUAAUAGGUUGAAUGCUUUUUUCCGAAAAUCUUUUAUCAUUUAAAAAUCAAUGUUAUCAUGUCAGAAAUAUCUAUGGCGUUGAGAAUAGGCUAUACCAAUUACUAUGGAAAUGUCUUUUCAAUUGGACCCAAGACUGAAGACCUAACAAUUUUAUAUCAAGGUGUAAAUUAUAAAUAUAAAGCAUUAAUUUAAUAGGUUGAAUGCUUUUUUACUGAAAAUAUUUCAUCUUUUAAAAACCAAUGUUAUCAUGUAAAAUUGGUUUUGAGUAUGACAUAUCAAUUGCUAUGGAAAUGUCUUUCCAAUCGGACCUAAGACCUUACAAUUAUAUAUCAAGGUGUAAAUUAUAAGUAUAAAACAUUUAUUUCUAAUGUGACAUUUUUUCAUGUGAAUGUAUAAUAUCAACACUAAGCAAUUUGAAUGAAAAGUGUGUUGUGUUAACUUAAAAUAAUUAUUAAUGCAUGUAUUUGUGUAUGUGGGUUGAUAAUACUCAUAUACCCGUUUCAUUUAUUUUUAAAAAUAUCAGUAAUUAAUGUAUGAAUUUCAUACUACUACAUACAAGGAAUCGCUUCUUGAUUAUACCAAUAUUUAUAAUAAUAUGUAAGUAUAUUAUUUUUAUUUGAUUAAACUUAUCUAAGGUAGUUCAAAUGUCUGCUUUCAGUUUAGUUAUUUCUUACAAUGAUAUAACCCAUAUAUUGUGUGUCUGACAUACAUUACGGAUAUUUUAUCAUAAAGUUUUAGCUAUAACUGACACAGGUAUUUGGCUAUCAAAGUUAAAUUUUAUAUUAAACUUAUUAAUAUACAAUAAUUCUCUCUUUUAAAAAGUAGUAAUUCUAUUAAUUUGUAUUUAAUGAAUUCAGUAAAUCAAGUAAAUUAUUUUUUUGAACUUGCCUAAGAUAAUUCUUAUAGUUAAUUUUAUUUAUUGAAUUUUGAUUUUGUUAGAUUUGUUUAAUUA